rnacentral:rRNA from 1 species
UACGUAGGGUGCAAGCGUUGUCCGGAAUUAUUGGGCGUAAAGAGCUCGUAGGCGGUCUGUCGCGUCGGCUGUGAAAACCCGGAGCUCAACUCCGGGCCUGCAGUCGAUACGGGCAAACUAGAGUACUGCAGGGGAGACUGGAAUUCCUGGUGUAGCGGUGGAAUGCGCAGAUAUCAGGAGGAACACCAAUGGCGAAGGCAGCUCGCUGGGACGGUACUGACGCUGAGACGCGAAAGCGUGGGGAGCAAACAGG